rnacentral:rRNA from 1 species
UACGGAGGAUGCAAGCGUUAUCCGGAUUUAUUGGGUUUAAAGGGUGCGUAGGCGGACUAUUAAGUCAGUGGUGAAAGCCUGCAGCUUAACUGCAGAACUGCCAUUGAUACUGAUAGUCUUGAGUUUGGUUAAGGUAGGCGGAUUGUGUAAUGUAGCGGUGAAAUGCUUAGAUAUUACACAGAACACCAAUUGCGUAGGCAGCUUACUGAGCCGACACUGACGCUGAGGCACGAAAGCGUGGGGAUCGAACAGGA